rnacentral:rRNA from 1 species
GACAGAGGGUGCAAACGUUGUUCGGAAUUACUGGGCGUAAAGCGCGUGUAGGCGGCUUUGCAAGUCGGGUGUGAAAGCCCUCAGCUCAACUGAGGAAGUGCGCCCGAAACUGCAGAGCUUGAGUGCCGGAGAGGGUGGCGGAAUUCCCCAAGUAGAGGUGAAAUUCGUAGAUAUGGGGAGGAACACCGGUGGCGAAGGCGGCCACCUGGACGGUUACUGACGCUGAGACGCGAAAGCGUGGGGAGCAAACAGG